ensembl:snRNA U4 U4 spliceosomal RNA
AGCUUUGCGCAGUGGCAGUAUCGUAGCUAAUGAGGUUAAUCCGAGGCGUGAUCAUUGCUAGUUGAAAACUUUUCCCAAUACCCUACCAUGAUGACUUGAAAUAUAGUUGCUAUUGGCAAUUUUUGACAGUCUCUUGUGAGA